rnacentral:rRNA from 1 species
GGAUGAACGCUGGCGGCGUGCCUAAUCCAUGCAAGUCGAGCGAACAGACGAGGAGCUUGCUCCUCUGACGUUAGCGGCGGACGGGUGAGUAACACGUGGAUAACCUACCUAUAAGACUGGGAUAACUUCGGGAAACCGGAGCUAAUACCGGAUAAUAUAUUGAACCGCAUGGUUCAAUAGUGAAAGACGGUUUUGCUGUCACUUAUAGAUGGAUCCGCGCCGCAUUAGCUAGUUGGUAAGGUAACGGCUUACCAAGGCGACGAUGCGUAGCCGACCUGAGAGGGUGAUCGGCCACACUGGAACUGAGACACGGUCCAGACUCCUACGGGAGGCAGCAGUAGGGAAUCUUCCGCAAUGGGCGAAAGCCUGACGGAGCAACGCCGCGUGAGUGAUGAAGGUCUUCGGAUCGUAAAACUCUGUUAUUAGGGAAGAACAAAUGUGUAAGUAACUAUGCACGUCUUGACGGUACCUAAUCAGAAAGCCACGGCUAACUACGUG